CCCUUUCACUUUCCUGAGGCAGCGGGGCGCCCGGCCGGGCGGUGGCGGCGGCGGCGGCGGCUCGGCCCCUCCCCCUCAUCCCCUCGCCGGUCCUCCCGCGGCCCCGGAGCGCACCCGGAGGCCCAGCCAGCCCCGGGGAGGCCGGGCGGGGACGCCGCCACGAGGAGACCCCGGGCCACCGCCGCUCAGGACUCCUCCCCGCGGUCCCCGCUCCUUGCACCUGCCUGCGGGCGCCCGGGCUUGAGUUCGAAACUGACCAAAGAAGAGCUCCCCAAGGACCCUUUGUCCUCAAGACUAACUUCUGAUUGUCACGAUUACCUGGUUGAACCAUCUUUGGCAGUCUGAUCCUCUCCGGGAAGACACAAUUGAAAAUGACCAAGACAACCUGACGUCAGAACUUCCCCAAAGACCCAUGGAUAGACAGAACGUGCUUGGUUACUAUAGGGAAACGUUGGCAUGCUGUGUGUCUUCUGGAAGAUCUGUUGAUUAUUCAGCCAUUCACCUCAUGGAUUUGGCCUUUGUGUUUCCUCAGGCACUGCUACCCUCCCCCAUCUCGCCAUCCCCCAGCAACAUCACACGACACACCUGGGAGGGGGGUGGGUGGGUGCGAGGAGAACUUUCUAUUAACGAUAUGUGAUUUCUUUGUUAGAUCUUCAUUGAUGGCAUUAUAUAGCUAUCAUAAUAAAUAACGAUACAUUAAUAAGGUACCAUUUUUGAUCCCCAGGGCAGCUCUUCGAGUUUGGAAGGGUUUAUUCCCCUCAGUUUACAGAAUAGGAAACUGAGGCUCAGGGCAGGUGAGUUGCCUGAGGUCACCAAAGCGAAUAGGCCAUGGGAACCCAGAAUUUGACAUUGGGCAUUCUGGCUCUAGGGGAGUAAUAUUUCCACUAAAUGAUAAUGACUUUAAGACCUGUUUUCCCUCCAUUUAGAUCAAUUUUUUAAAAUACUUAAAUAUUAGAUUUAAAUAAACAAAAAGUUGGGGUUAUUGUUGAAGUAUUAAAUCUCAAAAGCAGGUAAGAGCACCAUACAAUAUUUAGAUUUAAGAUGAAACACAGUUAUUUGUAUAAUUUGCAAAAACACGUUAAAAUUGGAUAUACAAAUGUACGAUGGCCAAACCAUAUAUAGAAAUAGAACUCUGACCCACAAGUUGCAGCGACAAAGGCCAGGAAACCAACCCACUAUCUACAGUAGCCAUCGCAAGAAGCCAGCCUACUGUAGGCCAGACUGGCAGGAAGUCAGUCGCUAGCUCUACUAGCUGAUCUAGCAACAAACAAUAACCCCUUUAACAAUGGGCUCCAAAUGGCCUGGACUUGAUUAUAACUGAGAGGCACCCUAAUUUUUGCCCCCCCCUUCCCCCUUAGG